rnacentral:rRNA from 1 species
AUUGAACGCUGGCGGCAGGCCUAACACAUGCAAGUCGAGCGGUUGACGGGAGCUUGCUCCCUGAUUCAGCGGCGGACGGGUGAGUAAUGCCUAGGAAUCUGCCUAUUAGUGGGGGACAACGUUUCGAAAGGAACGCUAAUACCGCAUACGUCCUACGGGAGAAAGCAGGGGACCUUCGGGCCUUGCGCUAAUAGAUGAGCCUAGGUCGGAUUAGCUUGUUGGUGAGGUAAUGGCUCACCAAGGCGACGAUCCGUAACUGGUCUGAGAGGAUGAUCGGUAACACUGGAACGUAGAAACGGUACAGAAUCCUACGGGAGGCAGCAGUGGGGAAUAAUGGACAAUGGGCGAAAGCCUGAUCAAACCAUGCCGCGUGUGUGAAGAAGGUCUACGGAUUGUAAAGCAAUUUAAGUUGGGAGGAAGGGUUGUAGAUUAAUACUCUGCAAUUUUGACGUAACCGACAGAAUAAGCACCGGCUAACUCUGUGCCAGCAGCCGCGGUAACAC